CUCGAAGAAGGCGUCUGGACUCUUGCCUUUAGGUCUUCAGUCGAGUUUAUUAUUUCUUAUCUACAAAGAUUUUCUGUCUGUCCAGCCGAGGUCUGAUCAGCAAGACAGCCAAAGGCACUCUCUCCCGCCCAUGAGGCGGUUGUCUCUUUUAUAAUGAAAACUACGUAUUAGAUAUUUACCUUUAAUUCCCAAUACUUUCUGCCCUUGUUGGCAAGUGUACUCUUUCUAUGAACCAAUCCACACAUGCCAACAUCAUUCUGAACAUGGAUGCCAAGGAGAAGAAAGAAGAAGGACAGGGCACGCCCAAAUUCCUCCAUCUUGGGACUCCUGAUCCAUGCACAGAAUUCUAGACCCCCCUGUACAACACAUAAAACUCCCCUGUACAGUGCAUUCUAACUUAAGUUCUAACAAGUGAAUAACAUCCCCUCACCAUUCAGACCCGAAAUUCUCUCAUCUCCUCACCUUCAGGUGUCAUUUCUUUAAAAGGAUCAAAGUCAAGCCACCAGGUACUUUUGGCAACAUUCCAGGGCCUCUGAGCCCCCCAAGGGUUGUCUCGGUAGCUCUGGACAUCCGGAGUGAUGUACUGAGUUCCCACACUGUACUUAUUUAAAUUAUGUCAACUUUACUUAGAAGUAAACCUUUGCUCUGUGCAGCCUGCCUUAACACAGCAUCAGGCCCUGUCUCCUCAUGAAUGGAUGAUAAAUGAAAGAAAUUGGUGAGAAAGUGUCAAAGAGAAUCAAAAAUAUUUCUCACCUUCUCCAUUUCACUUAGGGGCAUAAACUCUUUGGGAUAGAUUUCGGUGCUCUUCUGCUUCUCUUUUCUAUUUCUGAAUGCAGAGAUUUCAAAAUAUUUUUUUUUUCUCAGAGGAAAAAAAGGCUUUAUGUGCCAUAAAGCCUGAAAAUGGUGCCUUCCCUGGCAUCUCAGGAUGUCAAACAACAAAUCCCCAGAGCUCCUCUUUUCACACAAAAACAGCGUAGAAAAGACAAAAAACUCCACCUUUUUGUGUCUUCUGAUGGUGUCAACUAACAGAGCUACAGAGCCUCCUGCUAGCUGAGGGCCAAGCCCUCUGUGGGCAGGGUGAGAGCAGGAGCUAAGAGCAAAUAUUUGCAGGCAGGAAAAGCCACCAAGGCCUUAAGAAGGGUUGUCUUUUGUUUAAAUGGUGGAUUUUUUAAGCUGUCCAAAAGUGAAAAAAUGCACAUUUAUUGUAAAUGCAGGGCCACCGACAAGGGAAGGAAUGAUGAGGAGGACUCCUUAUCAGAAGGCUAAUUUAUUACUUUGAUACUAUUUUAUAUUAAAGAAUACCAUACCAUACUAAAGAGUACAGAAAGGAUACUUACUGAAUGCUAAAAAGAUAAUAAUGAAAACUCAUGGCUCUUUCCUGAAUCCCGACACAGCUUGGCACUGAUGGGCCAAAGAGUCAGAACAACUCACACCAGAAUCCAGCCAGGCAAUCACCUGUGGUAAACAAUCUCCAAACACAUUCCACACGUGAGCACAGCACAGGAGAAGCCAAUGAGCAAUUAAAAUAAUUACACUCUGUCAAGCUACAUCUUUUCACCCUGAUUAAAGACAGAGCUGUAUGGAGCAAACACAUCAACUUGUCUGUUGGCAGGUGAAAGAAGAAUGCAGAGCAUGUCUGAAACCAUACUGAUAACUUCACAUUGAGUAUUACACAGGCUAAGAAUUCAUCCUGUAUGCUUCUUCUAGAAAAUAAACACUUUAUUAAGAAAAUUA